rnacentral:rRNA from 1 species
CAAUAGCGUAUAUUAAAGUUGUUGCGGUUAAAAAGCUCGUAGUUGGAUUUCUGUCGGUGAGUGAAAGUCCGCUCUCAGUGGUUGGUACUUUUCACGCCACCGGCAUCUUCCUGGGGAGUUGUGUCUGCUCUUUGUUGAGUGGCGCAUAAUCCAGGACUUUUACUUUGAAGAAAUGAGAGUGUUUCAAGCAGGCCAUCGCCCUGAAUACGUUAGCAUGGAAUAAUAGCAUCGGACCUCGUUCCAAAGCUGUUGGUUUCUUGGACCGAGGUAAAGGUGAAUAGGGGAUUGUUGGGGCAUUGCGUAUUAAUACUGUCAGAGGUGAAAUUCUUGGAUUUGUUGAAGACGGACUACUGCGAAAGCAUCUGCCAAAGAUGUUCUCAUUGAUCAAGAAC